rnacentral:snRNA from 1 species
GUAUUCCAUACGGAAUACACAUACUAAAAUUGGAACGAUACAGAGAAGACUAGUAUACCUAGGCCCGUCCAAGGACGGAAAACCAGUCGUCUAGACGCAAGCAUCACCUAA